CAAGUACUCCCUCUGUUUCAUAAUUCUUGUCGAAAUAUUACAUGUAUCCAGACACUUUUUAGAAAUAGAUACAUCCAUUUUUGUUCAAAUUCGAGACAAGAAUUAUGUAACGGAGGAAGUACUAA
rnacentral:pre_miRNA from 1 species